rnacentral:rRNA from 1 species
UACGGGAGGCAGCAGUGGGGAAUAUUGCACAAUGGGCGCAAGCCUGAUGCAGCCAUGCCGCGUGUAUGAAGAAGGCCUUCGGGUUGUAAAGUACUUUCAGUCGUGAGGAAGGUGUUAAGGUUAAUAACCUUAGCAAUUGACGUUAGCGACAGAAGAAGCACCGGCUAACUCCGCGCCAGCAGCCGCGGUAAUACGGAGGGUGCGAGCGUUAAUCGGAAUUACUGGGCGUAAAGGGCACGCAGGCGGUUAAUUAAGUUGGAUGUGAAAUCCCCGGGCUUAACCUGGGAAUGGCAUUCAAGACUGGUUAGCUAGAGUCUUGUAGAGGGGGUAGAAUUCCAUGUGUAGCGGUGAAAUGCGUAGAGAUGUGGAGGAAUACCGGUGGCGAAGGCGGCCCCUGGACAAAGACUGACGCUCAUGUGCGAAAGCGUGGGGAGCAAACGAGGAUUAGAUACC